rnacentral:rRNA from 1 species
UACUCNUACGNGAGGCAGCAGUGGGGAAUAUUGNUCAAUGGGGGAANCCNUGANGCAGCAACNCCGCGUGAGUGAAGAAGGCUUUCGGNUNGUAAAGCUCUGUCACCGGGGACGAAGUCUUGAUGUUGAACAAGCAUUAAGGUGACGGUACCCGGGGAGGAAGCCCCGGCUAANUACGUGCCAGCAGCCGCGGUAAAACGUAGGGGGCGAGCGUUGUCCGGAAUUAUUGGGCGUAAAGGGCGUGUAGGCGGCUUUUUAAGUCAGGUGUGAAACCCCCGAGCUCAACUCGGGGCAUGCAUCUGAAACUGGGGAGCUUGAGGGCAGGAGAGGAAAGCGGAACUCCCGGUGUAGCGGUGAAAUGCGUAGAUAUCGGGAAGAACACCAGUGGCGAAGGCGGCUUUCUGGCCUGGCCCUGACGCUGAGGCGCGAAAGCGUGGGGAGCAAACAGGAUUAGAUACCCUGGUAGUCCACGCCGUAAACGAUGGGUGCUAGGUGUUGGAGGUAUCGACCCCUUCAGUGCCGGAGCUAACGCAAUAAGCACCCCGCCUGGGGAGUACGGUCGCAAG